AUGUGCUUCCUGCCAAUCAGCUGUCACUCCUCUGCCUCAGAAUCCCAUGGGGUGCUUAUCUGUUUUCUAACCUGUCCACAAAUGGUGUCAGUCCUGUGUAAAUUCAAGAUAGCCUUCGUCGUCCCAGAUGAGUUACGAGACGCCUCCUCCGUACCCCGGCCCGGGGCCCUCUGCGCCCGGCUACCCCCCCUACAUGCAGCAGCCCAACCUGGGCUACCCCGGCCCCAACCCGGGCUACCCCAACUACCCCCCGGGCCCCACAGGACCCUACCCUGCACCGGGACAGCCAGCCUUCCAGGGGUACCCACAGCAGCCCUACGGGCCCCCUGGACCUGUGUACGUCGAGGCGCCGAAGAAUACAGUGUACGUGGUGGAGGAGCGGCGCCAGGACAACUCCGGAGAGGGCGCCUGCCUGACGGCCUGCUGGACGGCGCUCUGCUGCUGCUGCCUGUGGGACAUGUUCACCUAGCCCCCCGCCCCCGGACCCCCAGCACCCUGCACCCUGCACCCCAGCACCCUGCACCACCCUGCACCACCCCCCGCAGCUUUCGAGGACUCCCUCAGCCUCUCGGAGCGCACUGUGACCCCACUGUACCCCACUUCUGCAGCCCUGCCUCGUAUCCUCGAUGCUCCCACAGAGGGGCAGACUGGCCCGGGCUGACUCUUGGAAUCGGUCCGGAGGGUUUUUUAAAAAAAGCAACAAUUUUUGUUUUGUGUUAAGUUUAUGGGAUUGUUUUUUGUCUUGGAGAUGUUAUUAGCAAUAUAUUUUUCCUGAUUAAAACCUUAUUAAUAUAUUUGAAACUUGUAACUAUCCUUUUAAUUUUUACAUUCCUAGAAUGUGACUGUAGGAAAAAAAAACAAAAUAAAGUUAGUUGCCUAUGUGAAUAAUCAGAAUUGCACAAUUAAUAAAUUAUUCCUUCAAGGUAUUUUGGUGUUGUCUUUUUUUUUUUUAUUCCCCCAGUCUGUCAUGAGCUGCUGCAGAGCAGUUCUGAUCCUGAAGAGCCCCAGUUUUGGAAAACGUGCACAUACCGCCUGCGACUGAGCACACAGUGUAGAUGUUCCAGUUCUGUGCACACGGCUGAUUUAAUGGGGAUCUCGAGACCCUGCUGGACUGGGGCUCCUUGUCGGGGCUGUGUGCCACAGUGAUCCCCCCCUGACUGCACCUAGCGACGAGCCUGACCGGCGCGAACCCGAGUCCGCCGGCCGGGUUGCUCUGCAGGGGAGGGCGUCUGGGAGACGGCUCGGCUGCCCUGUGUUUCCCAGAGCUGCUGGUUGCCGGGGAGGGGCCUGGGAGAAGCCACGGUGGGCAGCGUGACCUUUCCUCCGGCGCCAAGAGGCCGGGGGCUCUGCCUGCCUGCUCUGUGCCCGGCGCUGGAGUUGCAGGAUAUUCUGGGAGGGGAGGAGCGACUCGUUCUCCCAAACCCAAGUCCAGCUUCGGUUUCUCCGGUGCAGCAUGGAGACGGGCAGGAAUAACAGGCGGAGCCCCCGAGCAGGAGACGGUGGGGGUGGCGGGCGACCCCCCCGAGCGGAGCCCCUUGUUUCAGCCUCUCCCUGGCGAUGGCUUCCAUCUGCUCGGGGCCCAUGGGCGCGGGCUCCUGUGGGAGGGGGGCCCUGCUUGUUCCUGCUCGCCCGGAGCGGCGGCGGGGAGAGGCUUCGGAGCUCUUGGCAGUUCACCAUGGCAACGGUCCAAGUGGAACUCGGACGUUGGCGUGAGCCGGCCUCUCCUCGAGAACAACAAGCGGGUAAGCAGAGGAAGGAUUCUUGCCUUCUGAGCUCCUGAAAGGAUAUUUUUGCGGGAUAAACACCCGCUGUCCUUUUGAAAUCGGGCGAAUGCGUGACGGCCCUGUGGCUCUGGGGAGGCAGCUGAGAGCCCCCCCCUCACACAGCUGGGGUGGGUCAGAUUGGGGUGACCCCUCUUCCAACCUGCUGCUGAGCUAUUGCCCCUCACAGGAGCAGGACUGACCGGGGUUUAUAUUGUAUAAUAAAAAAUAACUUUCAAUAAAAUGAUUCUUAGGAGAUAUUUUUUGUGAUAUGAUGUUGCUUUUUUCCCCGCGAGUGAAAGGCCAGCAGGGGAGGAGACUAAGACCCAUUGUGGUGCUCCUGCAGGGGCCUCCUGGGGCUGCGAUCACGUGACGCCCGCACUGGGAAGGAGAGCCGUGGGCUGACGGCGGCGACCAGUCUGAGCUGGGAGUUGAGCUGCAUGGCUGCUGGGAAGGAGUUCUGAAGUCACAGGAGAAGUGUAAUCUGACUCGCCCGGCCUGGGCGUAUUUUUAGCUCGUCGGGCUUCUGAGCACCACAUGCAGGACAGAGUAAAGUAAAUAUUUUCCUUUUAAUCCGCAGGACUGGGGCUCGGCUAGAACCUGCAAAGACGAACGGUUGAACUACCGUGUUCCAGAAAAGCCCAGCUUGUCUUUGCAGAACAUGAAUCGUUUGUCCACUUGCCAUUGUAUGUGCUAAAACCCCAGUGUAAAAGCUACAGUAUACCGUUGAGGAAAACAGCUGAAUGAGAGGUUAUAUAUGAGGGGCAAUCGAGAAACAGAGUCUUGUAUACAACUGCGAUUCUGUCUGCAAUGUCAGGUUUUUCAGCAGCUCGGUCUUGAUGUGGGGUUUCAACAGUCUCUCUGGGGUAAAACCGUCUCUGAAAGAUCUUCUGAAAGCAGGCAAUGCGAUCUGUACGAGAGCCUCCUCCCAGGAAGAAGGCUGUUCGGGUCCUGCCGUGGUGUCUGUGAGCCCGACAGAGGUCCGCUCUUAAACAGAAGGUUCAACAGCGUUGCUUCCUGCGAGGCGAACAGCCCAGAUUCAGGUCCCCGCUGCGGCGCAAGCUGUGCUUUUCAUGCCCUCUGGGGAGAAUAAAGACCCCUCCUCUGAUAGUAAAAUACAAUAAACAAUUGUUUAUUGGGGGGGGCACCGGGGGCUCCGCGCCCAGGUCUGGUCAGGGCUGAGCUCCGCUCUGUGCGGAGUCUGCAUGUUCUGCCCGGGCCUCCGUGGGUUUUUGCCAGCCUGGCCCCCUUCGUGACGGAGCGCCUGGGCGUAUGUGAGGAGCAGCGGGAGCGUGGCAGGGCACCCUCCGGGCAGGACGCCAGGCCAUCACAGGACAAACACACUCACGCCAGGGCCGGGUUUCCCAGAAGCCAGUUCACCUGCCAGCAUGUCUUUGGGCUGUGGGAGUAAACUGGAGCGCCGAGAGGAAACACAUGCGAACACAGGGAGAACAUGCAGACUCCACGCAGACAGCGCCCCAGGGUCCCCCUUGUUAACCCCUGUGCCAGCGUGCCCCUUGAAUAUUACACCGCGGUGUUUAACUGUUUAAAAGGAGUUUAGUGUUAUUACCUGACCAGACUUGUGUUAAAAGUUUAAUGAGCAAAGUUUAAAAAUGCCUUAGUUGAAGAGUGCAAUUGUCUGCUUCUUGGGUAACCCCCUCCAUCCAUCAAUGAAUUAACAGAAAAACCUGUUUAUUCCUGGUAAGGGUGAUGGCAAGCCGAUCUUAUCCCAGAAUCUUUGGGCACGAGGCGGGACCGCAGCCUGGACAGGAUGCUGGGGACACCGUGUGCUCCAGUGCUCGCCAUUCGAGAAGAACAUUGGCCGAUAAACCUACUGCCAAAACAAACAGGGAUUAACGGCCCUUUGUUCCGACAGCUUCAGGUCAGAAAUGAGAAAUCUCCCUGUUCCGCAGAACACGGUGCGCUGCUGCCACCUAGUGUCUAAUACUCUAAUAGACGCGCGAAGACUUGAGCUUUGCAAUAUCUCCAAAUCGCUCGAAGCACUGCGCAAGGCACCCGGGUGGAUCGUCACUUGGAUUGUGCAAUAUUUUACACAAAUGCAUUAACAUCAAACAUUUUUUGUCGUGGUGCUAACAGCACAACGCCCCUGGCAGCCUACACUUGAAAUAAUUCACUUCUUGCACGUUUUUAUGUCGGGUUUCCUGGGUGACAGGUUUCAGCAAAGGCCUGUAACUUCUCUGAAACUCUUGACAUACAUUCUGAACUAUACCGCCAUUUUGAAAAGUUGCAUUGGCCAUUUUUCCAAAAUAAAACUCACCUCUUCUGCUUCAUCAAAGUUCUCACACUGGGGUGCGAAACGUGCAAUGAAGAGUACUGAAAAUGAGAAGGUGUAUAGACCAUAGUCAACUGGCAAACGUGUCUUCCUGUGUCAACAUCACUGCACAAUAUGUGCUCAUCAGGAAAACCAGGUACUUACUCGGGGUAUUUGAUCAGUGCAGCACUGUUGCAGCUAUUGUCUGGCUUUCUCUGAAUGAGUUCAAAUUAGAGCAUUUCAUUUCUGCUAAACUGUGGACAGGAGGCACCACUAACAUGCAGUGGGAAUGUCGUGCGAUUAAAACAAAAGUGAUCAUCCCUGUCUUUGCAGAAGGAAGCCAUUUUGGACGGAUUACUUACGGGCUCACAAUGACGUGACAGCGCUUACCUACUAUUUAAUAUCAUUUCCAGAAAUCAGCGUCUCCUCCCUGACGCCAGCAAGUGAUCCAUAAGCUCCCGGAAACUGACCCCCCGCUCCCAGAUUGUUCUGUAUCAUAUGACCUCGAGCAAUCUGAGAAGCUGCUCAGAUCUGCUAAACAAGCCGCAUCUCUGUACAACGCAAGUUUGUAACGAAAGUGAGAUUAUCCAACUGGACUGGCGAGUUAUAGUAUAUGUGGUGUAUUGCAUAUAUAUUAUAGCAUCAGCGAAUUAUUUCAUUGUAUAGCUGUGGUUUGUUUCAAGCGGGACCCUUCCCCGAA
ensembl:lincRNA